rnacentral:piRNA from 1 species
AUACCUCUCUUCCACUAGCAAGU